GGCGCUGAGGCGCCCGGGAGGGGGGAGGGAGGGCCCCGCGCUCCCCGGGGCCGCCGCUGGGAGAGGAGGGGAGACAAAGAGCCCCGAGGGUCGGGUCUGACGUUCUGUGCUUCGCUUCCCUCCCGCGCAGGCCGUGUCCGCAGCUCCGCGCCCGCUGUUCCCCGCGCUCGGAGGCGGCUGCUCCAGCCCCGCCCGCCCCGGGCAGGCCCCGGCCCCGCGGUGCUGCCCUGGCCCCUCGUCGGUGAUUGGGAAGGAAGGCCAAAGGAGGCAUCACAGCCUUGCAUGAUUACUGCUUCUGGAGUGACUUUCUUCAUAGUCGAGCAGAUCACCAAAGAGAUGAGUUUCUUCCUGAGGAAGAGGAAGCAGACACGCUGGCACAGGGCAGACCUGGCUCAGCUGUCAGCAGGUCCUCCCCUCCUGUGUCAAGGGCUCAGCAGCACUGGAAGUCGUGUGGCAGGAGCAUGUCCCCUCCCCAGCACGUCCCCUCUGCUGGAGGGGGCAGUUAAUGCUGGUUUUAAAUCCCUCCUGCUCUGUUCUGUUUCUCUGCUGUCCUGGACCAGAGCUCUGGAGCUGAUCUUGCUCCAGGCAGGGGAAGCUGCUGGCCUGAACUGAUCUAGGAGGGUGUUUUUACACAGCUGCAAGGUUGAGCCUGGUUCUGGUUUUCCUGUUUUGUUUGGUAGUGACCCUGCACGUCCCCUGGGAUUGAGAGCACUGGUGGCUGCUGCUCUCAGCCUGCAAAGCUGCUUUCUAAUUAAAAGCUAGUUUCCAUUUCAGCCACUUUUUCAGUAGGUGAAUGUUUUAUCUCCAACACUUCACAUUCCAGGUGGCAGAAAAUACCUGAUAAAUACGUGUAUCAACUCCAGACAUUUCACUCUUGUAGCCUGCAGUGCCCUGGCCCAGCCUGGGGCCUUGACUAACCCCUCUGCAGACUUCACAGAAUCACAGAUGGGGGUUGGAAGGGACCUCUGGAGAUCAUCGAGUCCAACCCCCCUGCCAGAGCAGGACCAAUCUAGGGCAGGUCACUCAGAAAGGCAUCCAGACAGGUCUGGAAUGUCUGCAGAGAAGGAGACUCCACAGCCUCUCUGAGCAGCCUGUCCCAGGGCUCUGUCACCCUCACAGGAAAGAAGUUCUUCCUCACGUUGAGGUGGAACUUCCUGGGCUCCAGUUUGAAUCCAUUGCCCCUUGUCCUGUCCCAGGGCACAAGUGACAAGAGCUUGUCCUGCCUUCUUGAUGCCCUCAUGUAUUUAUAGACAUUCAUUAGAUCCCCCUCAGUCUUCUCCUCUCUGGACUGAACACCCCCAGGUCUCUCAGCCUUUCCUCAUCAGGCAGGUGUUCCAGUCCCUUCAUCAUCCUUGUAUCCUCUGUUGGACUCUCUCCAGCAGAUCCCUGUCCCUCUGGAGCUGGGGAGCCCAGAACUGGACACAACACUCCAAGUGAGGUCUCACCAGGGCUGAGCAGACGCAGAGGAGAACCUCCCUGACCUGCUGGACACACUCCUCCUAAUGCACCCCAAGAUACCAUUGGCCUUCUUGGCCACAAGGGCACAUUGUUGUCCCAUGGGCUUGAUGAGCUCCUUCUGCUGGAGGCUGAGCUCCUCUCUCUGUGCUGAAGACAUGAUGCUCUGCCCUGGAAUACCCAGUUCUCAAGCAGCAGAGGAGGCCCCGUGUGCUGCAGAGCCGUGUCCUGCUGGCUCAGCCCUGCUCCUGGCUGUGUCUGUCUGUGCUCAGCCCCACAGCUCAUGCAGCACCCUUUGUUCUGGGCCCCUUUCCCUUCUGAGAGCAAUUCCUUCCCAGAACACAGGAAAGCCCAUGACAGCCAAGAAACCAUUCCUGCUGGUUUAACAGCUGGCAGGGGAGGACAGAAACCACAUCCAGCCCAGAGGGUCCCUCAGUGGCCAGAAUCCAUCAGUGCUGGGCAGCUCGGGCUGGAAUUUUAUUCUGCACUUUGGCAUUUUUUUGCAAAAAAAAACAAUGUGGUGAGGAGCUCCCCUGGCAUUAGCCCAUCACCAGGCGGGCAGGAGAGUUCCUCACCCAGCUCCUCUAGCUCCCUGCCAGUCUUCAGGGCAGGUUUGCACUGCUGGUGCUCUGCAGUUCUGCAGCCAGCACCAAUUAAUCUGCAGGUCUCUGAGCUCUUGACAGCUAUUGAGGUAAUUAAAGUUUGCACUCUUCCUUCAGAACAAAACCCCAUUCUGGUUUGAUGGAGAUCUCUUCAGUGGUGCUCACUUAUAGCCUGGCUCUCAGGAACACAAAGGCCUUUUCCCAUCACUUUAGUGGUCUGAAAGGGCCCAAGAGUGUCUGUAACUCACCACUUACUUCCCUGGGUGUAAUUCAGAAGAUGAUUAAUCAGAUAUAUUACUCUUUUAAAGUGCUGUGGGUACUCGCUCAUUGAGUGUUCCUCUUUUCUCCUGCUCUGUCCCCAGGCUUCAGCUGGAACCCAAGAUACCAGAACUUGUCCAUUUUAUGCUCCUAUAUAUAUGUAUAAUGCAGAAAACUUUAUCACUCUUUGAAUAAAAAUAUGUGGCUUUUUGUGUUUGACAAA